GAGCGCCGUAGCAAUACGGAGCGGCAGACGGGAGAGUAACACGUGGGAACGUACCCUUUGGUUCGGAACAACCCAGGGAAACUUGGGCUAAUACCGGAUAAGCCCUUACGGGGAAAGAUUCAUCGCCGAAGGAUCGGCCCGCGUCUGAUUAGCUAGUUGGUGGGGUAACGGCUCACCAAGGCGACGAUCGGUAGCUGGUCUGAGAGGAUGAUCAGCCACACUGGGACUGAGACACGGCCCAGACUCCUACGGGAGGCAGCAGUGGGGAAUAUUGGACAAUGGGCGCAAGCCUGAUCCAGCCAUGCCGCGUGAGUGAUGAAGGCCCUAGGGUUGUAAAGCUCUUUCGGCGGGGAAGAUAAUGACGGUACCCGCAGAAGAAGUCCCGGCUAACUUCGUG
rnacentral:rRNA from 1 species